rnacentral:rRNA from 1 species
AUUGAACGCUGGCGGCAGGCCUAACACAUGCAAGUCGAGCGAUCGGCGGACGGGUGAGUAAUGUCUGGGGAUCUGCCCUAUAGAUUUGGAUACCUACUGGAAACGGUGGCUAAUACCGCAUACUAUCGGAUGUGCCCAUAUGGGAUUAGCUAGUAGGUGGGGUAAAGGCGCACCUAGCCGACGAUCUCUAGCUGGUCUGAGAGGAUGACCAGCGACACUGGGACUGAGACACGGCCCAGACUCCUACGGGAGGCAGCAGUGGGGAAUAUUGCGCAAUGGGGGCAAGCCUGAUGCAGCCAUGCCGCGUGAAUGAAGAAGGCCUUCGGGUUGUAAAGUUCUUUCGGCAGAGAGGCGUUAACUACAGAAGAAGCACCGGCUAACUCCGUGCCAGCAGCCGCGGUAAUAC